rnacentral:rRNA from 1 species
CCUACGGGAGGCAGCAGUGGGGAAUAUUGCACAAUGGGGGAAACCCUGAUGCAGCGACGCCGCGUGAGUGAAGAAGUAAUUCGUUAUGUAAAGCUCUAUCAGCAGGGAAGAAAAUGACGGUACCUGAGUAAGAAGCCCCGGCUAACUACGUGCCAGCAGCCGCGGUACUACGUAGGGGGCAGGCGUUAUCCGGAUUUACUGGGUGUAAAGGGAGCGUAGACGGCAGUGCAAGUCUGGAGUGAAAGGCGGGGGCUCAACCCCCGGACUGCUCUGGAAACUGUACGGCUGGAGUGCAGGAGAGGUAAGUGGAAUUCCUAGUGUAGCGGUGAAAUGCGUAGAUAUGAGGAGGAACACCAGUGGCGAAGGCGGCUUACUGGACUGUAACUGACGUUGAGGCUCGAAAGCGUGGGGAGCAAACAGGAUUAGAUACCCGAGUAGUC